rnacentral:rRNA from 1 species
UACGGAGGGUGCAAGCGUUUAAUCGGAAUUACUGGGCGUAAAGUGCGCGCAGGCGGUUCUUCAAGUCAGAGGUGAAAGCCCAGAGCUCAACUCUGGAAUGGCCUUUGAGACUAGAGAACUAGGGUACGGGAGAGGUGAGUGGAAUUCCGAGUGUAGAGGUGAAAUUCGUAGAUAUUCGGAAGAACACCAGUGGCGAAGGCGGCUCACUGGCCCGUUACCGACGCUCAGGCGCGACAGCGUGGGGAGCAAACAGG